UGGGGAAUAUUGGACAAUGGGCGCAAGCCUGAUCCAGCCAUACCGCGUGGGUGAAGAAGGCCUUCGGGUUGUAAAGCCCUUUUGUUGGGAAAGAAAUNCAGCCGGCUAAUACCUGGUUGGGAUGACGGUACCCAAAGAAUAAGCACCGGCUAACUUCGUG
rnacentral:rRNA from 1 species